UUAAGCGACUAAGCGUACACGGUGGAUGCCCUGGCAGUCAGAGGCGAUGAAGGACGUGCUAAUCUGCGAAAAGCGUCGGUAAGGUGAUAUGAACCGUUACAGCCGGCGAUGUCCGAAUGGGGAAACCCAGUGCAAUUCGUUGCACUAUCGUUUGAUGAAUACAUAGUCAAACGAGGCGAACCGGGGGAACUGAAACAUCUAAGUACCCCGAGGAAAAGAAAUCAACCGAGAUUCCCCCAGUAGCGGCGAGCGAACGGGGAGCAGCCCGGAGUCUGAAUCAGCUUGUGUGUUAGUGGAAGCGUCUGGAAAGUCGCAGGGUACAGGGUGAUACUCCCGUACACUAAAACACACAGGCUGUGAACUCGAAGAGUAGGGCGGGACACGUGGUAUCCUGUCUGAAUAUGGGGGGGACCAUCCUCCAAGGCUAAAUACUCCUGACUGACCGAUAGUGAACCAGUACCGUGAGGGAAAGGCGAAAAGAACCCCGGCGAGGGGAGUGAAAAAGAACCUGAAACCGUGUACGUACAAGCAGUAGGAGCCCACUAGUUGGGUGACUGCGUACCUUUUGUAUAAUGGGUCAGCGACUUAUAUUCUGUAGCAAGGUUAACCGAAUAGGGGAGCCGCAGGGAAACCGAGUCUUAACUGGGCGUUAAGUUGCAGGGUAUAGACCCGAAACCCGGUGAUCUAGCCAUGGGCAGGUUGAAGGUUGGGUAACACUAACUGGAGGACCGAACCGACUAAUGUUGAAAAAUUAGCGGAUGACUUGUGGCUGGGGGGUGAAAGGCCAAUCAAACCGGGAGAUAGCUGGUUCUCCCCGAAAGCUAUUUAGGUAGCGCCUCGUGAACUCAUCUUCGGGGGGUAGAGCACUGUUUCGGCUAGGGGGUCAUCCCGACUUACCAACCCGAUGCAAACUACGAAUACCGAAGAAUGUUAUCACGGGAGACACACGGCGGGUGCUAACGUCCGUCGUGAAGAGGGAAACAACCCAGACCGCCAGCUAAGGUCCCAAAGUCAUGGUUAAGUGGGAAACGAUGUGGGAAGGCCCAGACAGCCAGGAUGUUGGCUUAGAAGCAGCCAUCAUUUAAAGAAAGCGUAAUAGCUCACUGGUCGAGUCGGCCUGCGCGGAAGAUGUAACGGGGCUAAACCAUGCACCGAAGCUGCGGCAGCGACACUAUGUGUUGUUGGGUAGGGGAGCGUUCUGUAAGCCGUUGAAGGUGGCCUGUGAGGGUUGCUGGAGGUAUCAGAAGUGCGAAUGCUGACAUAAGUAACGAUAAUGCGGGUGAAAAACCCGCACGCCGGAAGACCAAGGGUUCCUGUCCAACGUUAAUCGGGGCAGGGUGAGUCGACCCCUAAGGCGAGGCCGAAAGGCGUAGUCGAUGGGAAACAGGUUAAUAUUCCUGUACUUGGUGUUACUGCGAAGGGGGGACGGAGAAGGCUAUGUUGGCCGGGCGACGGUUGUCCCGGUUUAAGCAUGUAGGCGGAUGUUCCAGGUAAAUCCGGAACGUCACUAACGCUGAGGUGUGAUGACGAGGCACUACGGUGCUGAAGUGACAAAUGCCCUGCUUCCAGGAAAAGCCUCUAAGCAUCAGGUAACAUCAAAUCGUACCCCAAACCGACACAGGUGGUCAGGUAGAGAAUACCAAGGCGCUUGAGAGAACUCGGGUGAAGGAACUAGGCAAAAUGGUGCCGUAACUUCGGGAGAAGGCACGCUGAUGGUAGGUGAAGUGACUUGCUCAUGGAGCUGAAAUCAGUCGAAGAUACCAGCUGGCUGCAACUGUUUAUUAAAAACACAGCACUGUGCAAACACGAAAGUGGACGUAUACGGUGUGACGCCUGCCCGGUGCCGGAAGGUUAAUUGAUGGGGUUAUCCUCGCGGAGAAGCUCUUGAUCGAAGCCCCGGUAAACGGCGGCCGUAACUAUAACGGUCCUAAGGUAGCGAAAUUCCUUGUCGGGUAAGUUCCGACCUGCACGAAUGGCGUAAUGAUGGCCAGGCUGUCUCCACCCGAGACUCAGUGAAAUUGAACUCGCUGUGAAGAUGCAGUGUACCCGCGGCAAGACGGAAAGACCCCGUGAACCUUUACUAUAGCUUGACACUGAACACUGGUCCUUGAUGUGUAGGAUAGGUGGGAGGCUUUGAAGUGUGGACGCCAGUCUGCAUGGAGCCGUCCUUGAAAUACCACCCUUUAAUGGCUGGUGUUCUAACGUGGGCCCGUGAUCCGGGUUGCGGACAGUGUCUGGUGGGUAGUUUGACUGGGGCGGUCUCCUCCUAAAGAGUAACGGAGGAGCACGAAGGUCAGCUAAUCCUGGUCGGACAUCAGGAGGUUAGUGCAAUGGCAUAAGCUGGCUUGACUGCGAGCGUGACGGCGCGAGCAGGUGCGAAAGCAGGUCAUAGUGAUCCGGUGGUUCUGAAUGGAAGGGCCAUCGCUCAACGGAUAAAAGGUACUCCGGGGAUAACAGGCUGAUACCGCCCAAGAGUUCAUAUCGACGGCGGUGUUUGGCACCUCGAUGUCGGCUCAUCACAUCCUGGGCUGAAGUAGGUCCCAAGGGUAUGGCUGUUCGCCAUUUAAAGUGGUACGCGAGCUGGGUUUAGAACGUCGUGAGACAGUUCGGUCCCUAUCUGCCGUGGGCGCUGGAGAAUUGAGGGGGGCUGCUCCUAGUACGAGAGGACCGGAGUGGACGCAUCACUGGUGUUCGGGUUGUCAUGCCAAUGGCAUUGCCCGGUAGCUAAAUGCGGAAGAGAUAAGUGCUGAAAGCAUCUAAGCACGAAACUUGCCCCGAGAUGAGUUCUCCCUGACCCUUUAAGGGUCCUGAAGGAACGUUGAAGACGACGACGUUGAUAGGCCGGGUGUGUAAGCGCAGCGAUGCGUUGAGCUAACCGGUACUAAUGAACCGUGAGGCUUAACCUU
rnacentral:rRNA from 1 species